rnacentral:lncRNA from 1 species
AAUCUCAGAUCUAACUCCAUAACUUGUCCUCUCCCUUCUUAUCUUACCUGACUUCUCUGUUUGGAUCUAACCUCUCUGUUGUCGACCUCUCAGGACAAGAUAUUACAAGAUUCUUAAUUGAAGCGAUCUGCCGAUUGUGGUUCUUUAAAAGCCAAAUGGGUACAAUAUUUGAUCAUAAUUUAAGAUUUCUUUCAGAAAAUGAUGAUGGGCUACAAAAAAUCUAAAAAUUUAAGACUAGUUUGAGUUUUUGAUUAAUAUAGCUAUGGUAAAUGAAGUGUAUGAUCAUGAAGACAGUACCUUGGAUUCCGAGAGUGGGAAGUUUAGUGCUGUUGAAACUGUAGGCUGAUGUUUUUUGAGUGAAACCAGGAUGUUGGACCAGCAAGUUCCAGUUGGAGUAGUUUUUGUUGUAAUUGUAGUUAGAAAUUGUAAGCU